rnacentral:rRNA from 1 species
ACACAUGCAAGUCGCACGGGCACUUUGCGGGUGUCAGUGGCGGACGGGUGAGUAACGCGUAGGAACAUGUCCAGGGGUGGGGGAUAACGCUGGGAAACUGGCGCUAAUACCGCAUGUGAGCUGAGGCUCAAAGCCGUGAGGCGCCUUUGGAGUGGCCUGCGUCCGAUUAGCUUGUUGGUGGGGUAAUGGCUUACCAAGGCUUCGAUCGGUAGCUGGUCUGAGAGGACGACCAGCCACACUGGGACUGAGACACGGCCCAGACUCCUACGGGAGGCAGCAGUGGGGAAUAUUGGACAAUGGGCGCAAGCCUGAUCCAGCAAUGCCGCGUGGGUGAAGAAGGUCUUCGGAUCGUAAAGCCCUUUCGACGGGGACGAUGAUGACGGUACCCGUAGAAGAAGCCCCGGCUA